rnacentral:rRNA from 1 species
ACCGGCGGCCCGGGUGGUGAUCGUGAUUAUUGGGUCUAAAGGGUCCGUAGCCGGUUUGGUCAGUCCUCCGGGAAAUCUGACAGCUCAACUGUUAGGCUUUCGGGGGAUACUGCCAGACUUGGAACCGGGAGAGGUAAGAGGUACUACAGGGGUAGGAGUGAAAUCUUGUAAUACCUGGGGGACCAACUGUGGCGAAGGCGUCUUACCAGAACGGGUUCGACGGUGAGGGACGAAAGCUGGGGGCACGAACCG